UACGAAGGGGGCUAGCGUUGUUCGGAAUCACUGGGCGUAAAGCGCACGUAGGCGGAUGUGCCAGUCAGGGGUGAAAUCCCGGAGCUCAACUCCGGAACUGCCUCUGAUACAGCACGUCUUGAGUUCGAGAGAGGUGGGUGGAAUUCCUAGUGUAGAGGUGAAAUUCGUAGAUAUUAGGAAGAACACCGGUGGCGAAGGCGGCCCACUGGUCCGGUACUGACGCUGAGGCGCGAAAGCUAGGGGAGCAAACGGG
rnacentral:rRNA from 1 species